UCCCGAAAUUGAACGAGCUCCUCCAAGACACCGCUAACAUAGGGCAUACUCCGUCUCUGUGGCAAAAGAGUGGAAAGAGCUUCGAGUAGAGGUGAUAAGCCUACCGAGUCCAGUAAUAGCUGGUUGCCCGAGAACCGAGUUUAAGCUCAGCUUUUUAACUUCUUAACUCACCAACUGUAGAAACCAAGCCGACUCCAAGAAAUUAAAAAAGUUAAUCAAAGGGGGUACAGCUCCUUUGAUCAAAGAAACAACUUUCACAGGUGAAUAAGGAUCAUAAUUACCAAGGCCAUGUGUUUAGGUGGGCCUAAAAGCAGCCACCCUGUAGAAAGCGCUUCUAGCUCGAACACACCCCUGCCACCAAUACCGAUAAUACAUCCUAAUCCCUGACUUAUAUCGGGCCUCUCUAUGCCCCCAUAGAAGAGAUUAUGCUAAUAUGAGUAAUAAGGGGCCCUUGACCCCCUCCAAGCACAAGUGUACAUCGGAACGAACCCCCACCGAAACCCAACGGACCCAGCCAAAGAGGGCAAUGAAUAUCAAACCAAACAACCAGAAAACAUUCACCACCCAGACCGUUAACCCCACACUGGUGUGCUCAACCGGAAAGACUUAAAGAAAAAGAAGGAACUCGGCAAACCCACAAGCCUCGCCUGUUUACCAAAAACAUCGCCUCUUGCUAAAAACAACGAAUAAGAGGUCCCGCCUGCCCUGUGAUAUACGGUAACGUCCCCGU
rnacentral:rRNA from 1 species